rnacentral:rRNA from 1 species
UACGUAGGGGGCAAGCGUUGUCCGGAAUUAUUGGGCGUAAAGAGCGUGUAGGCGGCCAGAUAAGUCCGCUGUGAAAUCUCGAGGCUCAACUUCGAGCUGUCGGUGGAAACUAUCUGGCUAGAGUCCGGAAGAGGAGAAUGGAAUUCCUGGUGUAGCGGUGAAAUGCGCAGAUAUCAGGAAGAACACCGGUGGCGAAGGCGGGUCUCUGGGCCGAAAUUGACGCUGAGGAGCGAAAGCGUGGGGAGCAAACAGG